UGGUUAAGUAGGGAGCUUUUUCGAGUGCUGGAGCAGUGAUGAACAGGAGUUCCAGGAAGGCUCUUGGUUUCACGACUUGAAAGGCUUACAUGGACUUUCUCCUGAAUGCUGGACCGGAGCUGGAGCAAAGUGAGGAUCAGUCAAGUGGAUUCUGCAAGGUGAGAAACAGAGACACAGGUGACACCGAAGGGGAACAACACAGAGAGGCAGCUGCAGUGGCCUCCUCAACAGGCUAAAGAUUAAUCUGCACACACCAGUUGUGCCUGGUGUCCUCAUGGCCAACGUUAGAUCACUCUCCAACAAACCGGACAAGAUGUGGCUGAGGAUCAUCACACAUAAGAUCGACAAGUGUGUAGGGAUCGUCACAGAGACCUGGCUGGAUGGAAACAUUCCCACUGUGCACCGCAAUUCUUGGUCCACAACUGUAAAAUUGAUCAGAGCCUUCUCCUCUCCCGAUCUGGAUUAUCUGGCGGAUCCAGGAUCUGACAGGACCAUGG